rnacentral:lncRNA from 1 species
GGGGCGGCAACUUUUUAUAUGGCAGAUUAGGUCAAAAGACCUAAUUAACAAGGAGUCCAUGGGGCAUCCAACUCUUGGACGCCCCCUCUCUUAUAAAUUUCAUGGAGAUCAGGAUAAGAUGCUUAAAAGGGGUGACAAAAUGAUAGGAUAGGCUUGGAAAAAGUUAGUGCAAGAGAGGAGAGAAAGUCCUUGUGAAGAGGGACUCUUUCAAAAAAAGAAUAAGCAUAAACCAUAGAGCAAAGUAUGUACAUUAAUAUAAAUUUCAAAAUAUUUAAUUCAUUUGUUCAAGAAAUAAGUUCCCAAAUCCCUAAAAAUAAAUCAUCUAAUCUCUCUUCUAUGAUUAACCUGUAGUAAGUCCUAGGUGAGACUAGCUCCUACAUAUAAUAUGCCAUCAAUCAAUAUAUGCUAGUAAUCACCCACCGAAGAUCUUGAAAGAAACUAGCUGUGGCCUCAUAUAGGAAAUAUAUUUGUAACUACAUGUGCUAGUAAUCACCCUCCUAGUGUGGCUUGGAAGGAGACACUAGUUCCCAAACCUAUAUAAUCAUAGUUAGAUUAGCGAGCAAAAUAUCAUAAUUGAUUAAAUCAACACGUGUUUUGAUUUAGCA